rnacentral:lncRNA from 1 species
UUUUUGAGACGGAGUCUCGCUCUGUUGCCAAGCUGGAGUGCAUGGCGCGAUCUCGGCUCACUGCAAGCUCCACCUCCUGGGUUCACGCCAUUCUCCUGCCUCAGCCUCCCGAGUAGCUGGGACUACAGGCGCCUGCCACCAUGUCCAGCUAAUUUUUUUUUUUUUUUUAGAGACGGGGUUUCAUCGUGUUAGCCAGGAUGGUCUCGAUCUCCUGACCUCAUGAUCCACCCGCCUCGGCCUCCCAAAGUGCUGAGAUUACAGGCUGCUGGCAUAAGCCACCGCACCCGGC